rnacentral:rRNA from 1 species
CAUGGCUGUCUUCAGCUCGUGCCGUGAGAUGUUGGUUAAGUCCGUCAACGAGCGCAACCCACACCCCUAGUUGCCAGCAGUUCGGCUGGGCACUCUAUGGGAACUGCCCGUGAUAAGCGGGAGGAAGGUGUGGAUGACGUCAAGUCUUCAUGGCCCUUACGGGUUGGGCUACACACGUGCUACAAUGGCAAGUACAGUGGGUUAAUCCCCAAAACUUGUCUCAGUUCGGAUUGGGGUCUGCAACUCGACCCCAUGAAGUCGGAAUCGCUAGUAAUCGCGGAACAGCAUGCCGCGGUGAAUACGUUCCCGGGCCUUGCACACACCGCCCGU